UUAUGAGGAUUUCGAGAGUGGAGAAUGGGCACAAUGCAAUCGGGUCACCCAUAUACUCCAGCGCCGCCAAGAAGAAGUGCUCGAAUUGGCUGCCGAUAUUCGUAGCCUUUGUGUUUAUAGCAGAGAUAGCCUUUCUGGGUCGACUUGACGUGACCAACAAUGUCGACCUGGUCAACUCGUGGGCUCACUCGUUUUACCAGUUCACCGCCACGCCCUGGUCAUCCACCUCCGCCGACGGCGGCGGCGAUGACCGUGGAUACUCCGGGGCCCGCUAUCGCCGCUUCGGAUAUGAGAGCUGCGAAGAUUGGUUGGAGAGGGUGGACGCCGUGACUUAUACGAGGAACUUCGACAAAGACCCUAUUCUCGUCCCCGCCAAUCCCCAGGAAUUAGCAUAUUGUUCUGUGGGAUGCAUAGGUGAGGGCAAUUCCGAUAAACAGCUUGAUGCAGUAUUUGGAUUGGUGACUAAAGCGCCUGAUACAACUAGGGUGCUGCGAUCAAUGGAGUCAUCAAAGUACUAUUCUGAUAAUAACAUUGCCAGUGCAAAAAGGAGGGGAUAUGAUGUUGUUAUGACAACGAGCCUCUCUUCAGAUGUUCCUGUUGGGUAUUUCUCUUGGGCUGAGUAUGACCUAAUGGCGCCAUUGCAACCGAAAACAGAGAAGGCUUUGGCAGCUGCUUUCAUUUCCAAUUGUGGUGGACACAAUUUCAGGUUGCCGGCGAUUGAAGCACUUGUAAGCGCAAACAUCAGUAUUGAUUCUUAUGGCAGGUGCCAUCAUAACAAGGAUGGAAUUGUGAACAAAGUGGAAGCACUGAAGCGUUACAAAUUUAGCUUGGCUUUUGAAAAUUCCAAUGAGGAGGAUUAUGUGACAGAGAAGUUCUUCCAGUCUCUUGUUGCUGGUGCUAUUCCUGUGGUAGUUGGUGCUCCGAACAUCCAAGAUUUUGCUCCUUCUCCAGGUUCAGUGUUACAUAUUAAAGAGCUAUCAGAUGCAGAAAAAGUUGCAAAGACCAUGAAGUAUCUUGAUGAAAAUCCCGGUGCAUAUAAUCAGACACUUAGGUGGAAGUUUGAGGGUCCAUCUGUUUCUUUCAAGGCUCUCAUUGACAUGGCAGCGGUUCAUUCAUCAUGUCGGUUGUGCAUUCAUUUGGCAACAAGAAUUCGAGAGAGAGAAGAGAAGAGCCCAACUUUUAGUAAGCGUCCCUGCAAAUGUACCAGAGGUUCAGAAACUGUUUAUCAUGUAUAUGUACGCGAAAGAGGGAGGUUUGAGAUGGAGUCCAUUUUCUUGAGGUCUGGUAAUUUGACAAUGGAGGCCUUUGAAUUUGCGGUUUCAUUGAAGUUCAAGUCUCGAAAGCAUGUUCCCAUUUGGAAAGAAGAAAGACCCAAAAUGAUAAGGGGAGGGGAAGAGCUCACAAUUUACAGAAUAUAUCCUCUUGGAAUGACUCAAAGACAAGCAUUGUAUAGUUUCAAAUUUGAAGGGGAUAAUCAGUUUAGGGAACAUAUAGAAAGUAACUUGUGUGCUAAGUUUGAAGUCAUUUUUGUAUAGAUUAGCUUCAAAAUCUUCUGCCUCGCUCAUGGCUGAUCUACAAGGGAGAAUAAACCAUAUUUUCCCCAAAUCUUUCAUAUGCCAUUGUAAAAACAACAGAGUUUUUUUUUUUUUUAGUAGCUCUUUCAACUAUAACAAUAUUUUUACAUUUUGUUCUUAACUUUGUUUAAUCUUAAUGUUUAAAAAGUGUUCUAUUUUUAGAUU